CCCUUAGAUGUCCUGGGCCGCACGCGCGCUACACUGAGUGUCUGAGAUACGAGUCUGCCUGGUCCGGCAAGGUCUAGGUAAUCGCUAAAAGACACAUCAUGCUUGGGAUAGAUUAUUGCAAAUAUUAAUCUUGAACGAGGAAUUCCCAGUAAGCGCAAGUCAACAGCUUGCGUUGAUUACGUCCCUGCCCUUUGUACACACAGCCCGUCGCUACUACUGAUUGGAUGUUUAAGCGAGGUUCUCGAACUGCUAGCGACUUAGCUUCGGUGAGGUCGCAGUGUGGGAAGUGAACCUAGCUUUGGUGUCUAGAGGAAGUAAAAGUCGUAACA
rnacentral:rRNA from 1 species